UUAGACCUAAUAAUUUUUAUCAAAAUUUCUUAACUGGAUCUUCUGGUGAAAUGUCAGACUUCUCUCUAGUGAUGCACAGCAGACUUCUCCAAUUACUG